rnacentral:misc_RNA from 1 species
UCUUGCUGAUUUCUGUGUUCAGUGUGAUUGAUCACCAUAUAAUUGUUUACCUGUAUCUAUUGCUUCCUUUAAAGGACUCCUUAAUCCCUAAUUCUAAUAAUUCUCUGCUUGUGCCUAUUUAAUAAACUUUGCAUUGUGCACCCAUCCCCAUGUUUUUGUUUAGGACACAAAUCAUCUAAUCUUAUGAUUCUUCAAUGAAAUGAAGAGAGAGAGAGAGAG